AACAAACGCUGGCGGCGUACCUAAUACAUGCAAGUCGAACGGGGAAAGCUUUCGGGUGAGUACUAGUGGCGCACGGGUGAGUAACGCGUGGAUAAUCUGCUUUAGAGUGGGGGAUAACUAGUCGAAAGAUUAGCUAAUACCGCAUAAGACCACAAGAACUGCGGUUCAAGGGGUCAAAGGUUUUUCGCUCUAAGAUGAGUCCGCGUAAGAUUAGCUAGUUGGUAGGGUAACGGCCUACCAAGGCGACGAUCUUUAACUGGUCUGAGAGGAUGAUCAGUCACACUGGAACUGAGACACGGUCCAGACUCCCACGGGAGGCAGCAGUAGGGAAUAUUGCACAAUGGAGGAAACUCUGAUGCAGCGACGCCGCGUGAGUGAUGAAGGCCUUCGGGUCGUAAAGCUCUGUCGCAGGGGAAUAACACAAUGAAGGUACCCUGUAAGAAAGGAUCGGCUAACUUCGUGCCAGCCGCCGCCGUAACAC
rnacentral:rRNA from 1 species